rnacentral:rRNA from 1 species
UACGAAGGGGGCUAGCGUUGCUCGGAAUCACUGGGCGUAAAGCGCACGUAGGCGGCUUUUUAAGUCAGGGGUGAAAUCCUGGAGCUCAACUCCAGAACUGCCUUUGAUACUGAGAGCUUGAGUCCGGGAGAGGUGAGUGGAACUGCGAGUGUAGAGGUGAAAAUUCGUAGAUAUUCGCAAGAACACCAGUGGCGAAGGCGGCUCACUGGCCCGGUACUGACGCUGAGGUGCGAAAGCGUGGGGAGCAAACAGG